rnacentral:rRNA from 1 species
AUGGGGGCGACCCCGGGGCAGGAGGCGGCGUACCUCGAGCACUGGCGCCAGCGACGGCUGGCCGAGGAGCGGCGUCAAGGCGAGUACGAGGAGAUGCUCGAGCGCGACCUCGAGAAAGAGGCGCGCGAGGCUGAGGAGGAGGCGCGCCAGGCUACGGCUGCACAGGCGGCGGCACAGCCCCCCGCGCCGGCACUACCCCCGCCGGAACAGCUGCGCCUGGACUACGUCGCCGCCGCAUGGGCCACGGAGUUCCCCUGGGCUGGCCCUCCACUGACGCUCAUCGACCGCGCCGACCCCGGGGACGACGACGACGACGCCUAG